UACGUAGGGUGCGAGCGUUGUCCGGAAUUAUUGGGCGUAAAGGGCUCGUAGGCGGUUUGUCGCGUCGGGAGUGAAAACACCGGGCUUAUCUCGGUGCUUGCUUCCGAUACGGGCAGACUAGAGGCAUGCAGGGGAGAACGGAAUUCCUGGUGUAGCGGUGAAAUGCGCAGAUAUCAGGAGGAACACCGGUGGCGAAGGCGGUUCUCUGGGCAUGUCCUGACGCUGAGGAGCGAAAGUGUGGGGAGCGAACAGG
rnacentral:rRNA from 1 species